AACCGCACACAUCAAUGAAUGCAUGGUGGAGUGGGCGAAUCGGUGGAAUCGGGGGAGUCGGUGGCAGACUGACAAUUUUGACAAUUUUCGUUAUGCAAUAAAAAUGAUGUGCGGCGACAAAACUGUGCUACUCACUCACCGUUCAUCGCUUAUACAAACCGUUAUACUGACACAUUGCCCGCGGCCCAAUGCAUUUGUAAUGCCCCACGAAGGGGCAUUCAGACCGCCCGAAAAAGAGCAAAAAAGCGCCAUUCAGCGGACAUUUCAUUAAUGCUAAAUGCGGGCGAACGAGCUUUAGAACUCGGCUUUGCCUUCCAGAGAGAGGAAUCCUGCUCGAGCCGGAAGUUAAUUCAAAAUGAUGAUAACGCAUAUGGAAACGUAAUUGUUUGUGAAGUGUAGCAUGCGAGUCGCGGGGGAUCGAAUUAGCCGCUGAGUGGAUGGGAUUUCGGUUUAAAAUCCACCCCAAGAGUCGGCUUACAACCCCCGCGAAGGUGGAGCGAAAUUCAUUAGCGGUCCUGUUGGCAACUGGCUCCGUUGGCACCUGGCCGACACGCACUCUCGCGAAGAAGGCCGCCAAGAAUCCAAAGAGCCAGCUCCUCCCGCUCGCGAAAAUCCCCUAAAUCAAUUCAAUUCAAUUACAAAUCGCUCCCCUCCCAAACGGCAACCAAUUAGCCGACUGCCUGGACUAAAACGCGUUUUGGGUAGCAUACUUUUGUGGGCUCGCGGCGGAGGAAAAAAAAUCGCCUUUUAAUCAGCGCCCACGACGUCGGCUUAGCGGCUGAUUGGAUUGCGGGACGGAUGGGAUGCAAGGUGGCCGGGAGACAGCGCUUUUUGUUGCCUUUGUCCUUGUAUAAUUAAAACGGAGCCAAGGCAACCGGCAAAUCAAAUCGACGACAGCUGAGACGAAGGACCACGCUGUAGGAAACAAAAAACCAAGAACGCUUGCCAAAUUAUCCGAGUGCUAAAAAAUCCGGCGUUCUGCGGUAAUAAAUCUUCCUUCCAUUCGACUCCACUCCGCUCCAGUUUAAGUAAUUUCAAUUUUAUUUCCAGCUCGAGUUCGAGUUCGCAUCCGCGACCACAUACAAAAGUAAUUAGGAGGCAUUUUUUCACGUUCUGCUCGUUUCUUUCGCCGCGUUUAAUUAAAAUGGAUUUUUUGCUCGCGGAGCGCUAUUUAUUUAUUCGCGCGUUUCCUUGUGAUUUGAGUGUUGCGGUAAUUAAAAUGACAUUAUUCAAAGUUGCCUGGCGAAAAGGGUCGACCCCGAGAACUGGGCCGAAGGUCGUUGUCGCGGCUUGUUUGGCGCCCAGAUAGGCGUUUAUUACCAGCGCCAAGGCACCGACUAUCUAGAUGCCCCGCCCACCUCCGCGGAGAACUCUUUGGGAAGGUACGAAAUCAGAAAGCGAUUAGACUAAGAUUUGACUUUGAUGGGCUUGAGUUGAGAAGGGUUCGCUCUGCAUGUGGAGAGUCCUUCGGGAAGAGAGUAGUUCGCUGGCCGCACAGACAAAUUUAAUCCGCGUCCAUCGACGCCUCAGCCUCAGUUCAACAAACUCUUGUCUCGUCCAGAAAUUGUAACGGCGCCUGUAGCGACCAGAUAGUUUAGUUCGGCCUAGAAGCAUGCUUUAAAAUAUAUCUAAGCUCGGCUUAGUGUCUUAGCUAAUUACACAUAUGUUUGAUAAAUCAGCUGUAACAGAGAUGCAGUGGGAAGCUCGUUUUAGACAUCUGGUGUUAUCAUCUGUGGCGAACUUCCGACCAUACCCUAGCCUAACACUACCUAUAUUUGGUAAGGUUCUUUUCUGAUUGACAUCCGAUAUGAGCAGACGUGCCAAUUUUUCUCAACGUCAACAAAGUUUUGUUUAAAUACUAUAUAUUGAAAUCGUGGAAAAUAAUAAGAGGAAUAAGUGCAGCGAGCCUAGCUGAGUAAUAUUUUUGUGAUUAAUUUUGGAAAACUAUUGAGAUAUAUAUAUGAUAUAUAUAUUUCUCACGUGGCCAUCAAUACUGGCAUCCGUGGGAGCUCCCCUUCAAGACAGUGGGGGGCAUGAUUUAAUAUCGUGCCCCAAAUUAAAUCGGACAAGAAAAAUGAGGAGUUUCAACUGGAAUUAAAUUCAAGAAUGCGGCAUUAAAGAAGUGAUUUGGAGAGAUGUUUAACCCUCUCUACCCACGGCAGCAGCAGCAGCAGAUUUAGUAUAGCCAAAUAUGGACACAAAAGGGAAUAUAUAACCUGGAAUUGCUUUUAAGCCGCUACUGCGAUUUUUUUUAAAGUGAAAUAUUAUAAUUAAAAAUUUGAAAGUUUUGAAACGUGCCAAAGUGAAGAAAAUUUAAUGAAUCAAAGAUAGCAACAUGCCGUAAAAAUCAAGUUUAAGUGAUAUUUUCUAAAGUCUGAAUGAUUCAGUCUAAAACGUAAUAUUUAAAUUAAAUUAAAUUUAAAACUUAAUUUUUCACGAGUGGAGUUAUUUACGCAUCGAUUUUGUUUUGGAAAAUUCGCUCAACUAUGACUUAAAAGCGAUAAAUUAAAUAUUUAUUUUUUUUUUGUAAAUUUAAAUAUAAUUUGAAAAUAGCAACUUCUGAUAAGAAACAAUAGUGAAUAUUAAAUUUAAAAAUGUGGUUAAGUGAAGAUAUCACAGUCGCUUCUCAGUAAAAUAUGUAGGCCUAAAAGGGUUCCAAGUUAAAAGAUUUUUAUAGAAUAGUUUUGUGUUUUCGAGCCCCAAUUUCACCCUUUACAGCCACCUGCCCGGGAGAUCGAUCUUUCGCCGCUGGAACAACGUAUAAGCUGUGAGUUUAUUAUUCUCAUUAUUGCAUUUAUAUCUAUUCUAUUUAUAUCUUAUUGCGAAAUACUCUAUGAAAUAAUUUUUAACAAUCUACUUGAAUGAAACUGUGAAUUUAAAAGAACCCUGAACCGAUAGCCUCACUAAACUAAAUUAAAUUAAACAAAAAGAUAUCAAACAGAAUGAAGAUGAUUUAGUGAAAUAAAAAAAUAAAUUAAAGCAAUGAAAUUUAAAUAUCUAUUGUUAU